CAGUCGACGUUCACGACGACGUCAUCUGGCUGCUGUUUUUCGACCAGAUGAUGUUUCUGCGCUACACAAUGGAGUGUAGACCGAUGUCCGCCAACCUUCCACCAGUGCCCCCAUCGAGUGAGGAGGGAAGUGCUGCAGACAUCUUAACAAAAAAUGUGCCAGUUUUCCAAUCUGGCAACACUUGAAGUGCCAUCACCGUCAAGUGAAGAGUCACAAGCGCCAGCAUCGACUCUGUCUUCGGCGUCGCAUGAGUCUGUGGAGUCUCAGGACAUUUUGGAAUCUCUUGAAUCACCGAUGUUUCAAGAAGUUCUGGUUCCUGAGGAUUCUGAGGCACACCACAGCAGUCCGCAGUCAGAAGCAUCGCUGGCUUCAGCAGGCAGUCGUAGGCUGGAUACGUUAGGAAAGUCCAGAGAAGAGGCAAAAAAAGCUUGGCUGGAAGAAACCUUCUUUGCUUCUGAAGCAAAGUCAAGGGGGAGGAAAAGGAAAAAGAAAGAUUAGAGUCAGUUAAUAUUGGAGGAAUUAGGCAAUGUUUCAAGUGCAAUCAAAAGAUGCGAACCACAGGACGACCUCGAACUUUUGCCGUCUCUCUGCUCAAACACAUUAGAGAGGUCAGUGAGGAUACGCAUCUCGACUUGAAAAUUAAAUUGAUGCAAGUAGGAGAGUAAUUCAAAGAUUAAUGUUUUUAAUGUAUACUUUUUGUAUAAUAAAGCCAAGAGACAAUGAAACAAAAGGAAA